rnacentral:rRNA from 1 species
AAUAGAUACCCCGGUAGUCCACGCCGUAAACGAUGAGUGCUAAGUGUUAGAGGGUUUCCGCCCUUUAGUGCUGCGAGCAAACGCAUUAAGCACUCCGCCUGGGGAGUACGGUCGCAAGACUGAAACUCAAAGGAAUUGACGGGGGCCCGCACAAGCGGUGGAGCAUGUGGUUUAAUUCGAAGCAACGCGAAGAACCUUACCAGGUCUUGACAUCCUCUGACAACCCUAGAGAUAGGGCUUCCCCUUCGGGGGCAGAGUGACAGGUGGUGCAUGGUUGUCGUCAGCUCGUGUCGUGAGAUGUUGGGUUAAGUCCCGCAACGAGCGCAACCCUUGAUCUUAGUUGCCAGCAUUCAGUUGGGCACUCUAAGGUGACUGCCGGUGACAAACCGGAGGAAGGUGGAGAUGACGUCAAAUCAUCAUGGCCCUUAUGCCCAGGGCUACACACGUGCUACAAUGGCUGGUACAAUGAGCCGCGAACCCGUGAGGGUGAGCUAAUCUCAAAAAACCAGUCUCAGUUCGGAUUGG